rnacentral:rRNA from 1 species
AAUAUGGGACAAUGGGGGCAACCCUGAUCUAGCCAGGCCGCGAGAGUGAUGAAGGCCUUAGGGUUGUAAAGCUCUUUCAGUGGAGAAGAUAAUGACGGUACCCAAACACGAAGCCCCGGCUAACUUCGUGCCAUCAGCCGCGGUAAUACGAAGGGGGCUAGCGUUGUUCGGAUUUUCUGGGCGUAAAGCGCACGUAGGCGGAUUGGUCAGUUAGGGGUGAAAUCCCGGAGCUCAACUCCGGAACUGCCUUUAAUACUGCCAGUCUAGAGUCCGAGAGAGGUGAGUGGAACUCCUAGUGUAGAGGUGGAAUUCGUAGAUAUUAGGAAGAACACCAGUGGCGAAGGCGGCUCACUGGCUCGGUACUGACGCUGAGGUGCGAAAGCGUGGGGAGCAAAC